GAUGAACGCUGGCGGCGUGCCUAAUACAUGCAAGUCGAGCGAACAGAUGAGGAGCUUGCUCCUCUGACGUUAGCGGCGGACGGGUGAGUAACACGUGGUUAACCUACCUAUACGACUGGGAUAACUUCGGGAAACCGGAGCUAAUACCGGAUAAUAUAUUGAACCGCAUGGUUCAAUAGUGAAAGACGGUUUUGCUGUCACUUAUAGAUGGAUCCGCGCCGCAUUAGCUAGUUGGUAAGGUAACGGCUUACCAAGGCAACGAUGCGUAGCCGACCUGAGAGGGUGAUCCGCCACACUGGAACUGAGACACGGUCCAGACUCCUGCGGGAGGCAGCAGUAGGGAAUCUUACGCAAUGGGCGAAAGCCUGACGGAGCAACGCCGCGUGAGUGAUGAAGGUCUUCUGCUCGUAAAGCUCUGUUGUUAGGGAAGAACAAAUGUGUAAGUAACUAUGCACGUCUUGACGGUACCUAAUCAGAAAGCCACGGCUAACUACGUG
rnacentral:rRNA from 1 species